AUGUUCAUGGUUAUACUGAUGUGCCUGUGGCUUUCACUGAGUGACUCCAUGGCAGAUCCAAUAAAGCCACUUUUCACUCAUAAAGUUGUACAUGAAGAUGAUGAUGUUACUUUGUCCUGUAACUACAAAAACUUCAGUGGUACUGUAGAUAAUCUGCAAUGGUACAGGCAAUAUCCAAAAUCCAAACCUGAGUUCCUUCUUUACAUCACUCCAAGUGGAGUUAAAAGUGCUUCCAUCCCACCGCAUCUGUCUGCUGAAGUUGAUGAUGAUGAUAAAAAACAAGUGGAUCUGCUCAUCUCCUCUGCUGCUGUAUCAGACUCUGCAUUAUACUACUGUGCUCUGAGGCCCACAGUGACAGGAAAUCCAUCUGCACUGUACAAAAACUCUGACACAGUUUUGUUAUGCUAAAGGCAGAGGUCUAUAAUUGAAACCCCUUCAAACCAUGAGAUCAGGAUCCCUGAGUCCUGAUAUUUUUUGCUGAUUUCUCAGAAUUCUGCAUGUCAGCCAAUGUUAUUAUGUAUUAACCAAGCUCUACUGUGAUAUUAA